rnacentral:rRNA from 1 species
AGUGAACGCUGGCGGUAGGCCUAACACAUGCAAGUCGAACGGCAGCACAGUAAGAGCUUGCUCUUACGGGUGGCGAGUGGCGGACGGGUUAGGAAUACAUCGGAAUCUACUUUUUCGUGGGGGAUGACGUAGGGAAACUUACGCUAAUACCGCAUACGACCUACGGGUGAAAGCAGGGGAUCUUCGGACCUUGCGCGAUUGAAUGAGCCGAUGUCGGAUUAGAUAGUUGGCGGGGUAAAGGCCCACCAAGGCGACGAUCCGUAGCUGGUCUGAGAGGAUGAUCAGCCACACUGGAACUGAGACACGGUCCAGACUCCUAUGGGAGGCAGCAGUGGGGAAUAUUGGACAAUGGGCGCAAGCCUGAUCCAGCCAUACCGCGUGGGUGAAGAAGGCCUUCGGGUUGUAAAGCCCUUUUGUUGGGAAAGAAAAGCAGCAGGUUAAUACCCCGCUGUUCUGACGGUACCCAAAGAAUAAGCACCGGCUAACUUCGUG